GGCGCAGCGAGAAGAAAAAAAGAAUCGAGGGCCUGGAAACCCACCUAGUUCGUGUAUCCAGUGUGAGGCGGAGCAUUACUAUUUCAGCACCAAGGACAGCUCCCUCCGAGGCGACCCACUCCCCGGCCUUUCUCUGGCUCCCACCCGGGCGGUGCUGGCGGCGGGUGGGCUAACCCCCGCCUUCCUCUCUUUGCAGUAAUCGCUGUAUUUACUUUGUCUGGUCGGGAGGAGGUGGAAUAUUUCGCCUACUCCUCCCCUCCCUUGAAGCUGAAGACCUCUGAGAUUUCAAGGCAGCUUUGACUGGAGGAAAAGAACACUGAAGUCAGUAAGACUUGGGGUUACUUCUUGCUUCUACUUAACUGUCACAAGUCUCCUCAGUGAAAUGGGAACUGAUAGAAGCUCGAUAGAUCAUCUUAUUGGUGGUCAUAAAGCGCUUCCAGCAAGUUCCGCCAUGCCUGGGUAACGGUGUUCCAUUAAUGUUCACUGCUGCCCCCACCCCGUCAAUAGUGAUGUUGAUCUAUUUUAACUUUUUACCUUUACAUGCCCAAGCUAAGCAUAACAUUUUGCAACCCAUUGGUUUCAGCAGAGCUGCUGAUAAUCCCCUAGAUGAGACUGGUCAUCCUUCUCUUUACUUGCGAGGUUUUUUCUUUGCUUUUGUUUUAAAUAAUGAAAGAAGCUGGGUAUGGUGGCACAUACUUCUGUAAUUCGAGCACUCCAGAGGUCCAGGCCCAUGCAAUCUGUGGAUCAUUGGAAGUUAGAGACCAGCCUGGGCUAAAAAGUAAGCCUAAGCUGAACUGCAUAGUGAGACCCUGUCUCAAAAACACAAUAAAUAAAUAAAUAUAAAAUAACAAAAAAUUCUAUUUUUACUUAUUCUUUGGGUACCAGGAAUCAAACUCACAACCUUGCACUUAACAGGCAGGAACUUACACUGAUGAGCUAUGUUUCUAGCCCCCCAGAGACCAUUUAACCCACAGAGAAGUUUUGAUUCACGGAGAAGUUUCUGUAAGAAGGGAUGAAAGGGAGCCAGCCUUAUGAUGAGCUGACAGUUGCUCAUAAUGUUAGAUUUCUACGGGAUUCAUUGUUUGGGUCUUUGCUGUUUUCCUGUGUUCCUUCUUUCCUUCCCUCUGUAAUCUCAUCCAGUCUCACUCCUUUAGAUAGCAUUUAUAGGAUCCAUUGACUCUCAAGUACUUACAUGUUUACCAACCAUUCCAGGGUCACAUACCCAGCUAAAUUCUCCGUUAUUUCUAAUGGACAUCUUACAUUACAUUACAUUACAUUACAUUACAUUACAUUACAUUACAUUACAUUGAAGUGUCCCAGAUUUCCUCCUUCCCCCAAUAGUAUGUAAUAGUAUGUAUUCCUAUUACAUACUUCUCCAUCUGAGUAAAUAACAACUAGAAGGGACCCCAUCCCUCCGGUUCCUAUUGCUGGUUCCUCUCUUUCAGUCUAUUGGUAGAUUCUGUUGGGUCUAUUUUAGAGUUUUGCAGACUUCUGGUUCUGCUCUUUCUACAGUAUCCCCCAUUCUCCUCCACGUUCACAGAAUAGUUCGCAGGUCAGACUUACACUGUUUUCUUCACCUCUAAGCCCUGUGGUGAUUCCUUCUCUAAGAGUCAAAGCCAAAGUCCUGGCAGCCCCUACAUGGCCCUGUGGGGUCUGCUCUCCUAUCCUUUUGCUCUGCCCCAACUAAGUGCUGUAGUUGAACAUCUCAGGUGCAUUCCCACUGCAGAAAGCUUGCCGUUACUAAUCUGCUUGAAAAGUUUUCCCCCAGACAUGCACAGGGCUUGUUCCUCCUCAUCCUGGUCUUGGCUCAAAUGUUCAAAUUGCCUUUUUUCAGCAAGGCCUUCCUUCACACUUCUGUAUAAACUUGCUGUCCUCUACUGUUGCAAUUCUUUUCAAUUCUGUUUUUUCCCAUGAGGCCUCUUUUUCUAAUCACUUGACAUAUAUUUUUGCUUUAUUGCUUUUUUUCUUCCCACUAAACUAUAAGAUGUAUGAGGACAGAGUGCAUUUUAUUUUUAUUUUUUUGUUAUGUACCAUUGCAGUCCCAGGACAGAAUUGCCCCUGAACACUGAAGCCACUUGAUGCAUACUUUGAACACCCGAAUAGGGAAUGCAUCCCUAACACCUUCAGGUGGGCAUCUACAUCCCUGAGCAGAGGCGGAAGCACCUGGCAACUGAAGAAUGAGUAUGGACAGGAUUUUUGUGUCAGUUUAUUUCCCAGUUUGAAUUCAGAUGAGGGCGCAAAGAAAUAUGUCCCAACAAAUCAGAGCUCCCAUGAGACCUCAAAUAGUCCAUACAUGAACAGCCAGUUAGGUUGGUGUUUAAACCAUUAUUUUAACAGGUUGUGUGAAAACUCAACUUGGCAAAUUUUAGAGACAGCUUUCUCAAAGGCUUGUUUUUGUUUUAAUGUGCUAGGGAUUGCACCCACAGUCUCACACAUACAAGGCAAGCUUUCUACCACUGACUUACAUCCCCAUUUGAAAAAGAAAUUUAUUUUGAGAUAGUCUUACUAAAUUUCCCAGGCUGGGCAGAAUCUUGCAGUCCUCCUGCCUCAGCUUCCCAAGUAACCGGGGUUACAGUCAUGCACCAUCAUCCCCCCUCAAAGUGUUUUAAUUUCAUUUAAUGGCAUAUGUUUUUUAGAUUUUCAUCUUUUCUUUCAUUGGUGGCCUGUGAGCUAAGAAAAGGUGGCUUUAGGAUGGCAGUGUUGUUGACUGAUUGAAAUACUGUCCCCAUCUUUGGUGGUGGUCCGAUGCCAGUAAGAAAUUGGAUUUGGUGUGUGUUAUGAUGGGAGAGGGUUUCCUCUUAACAUACUGUUUGUAGCACUUUUACAAACGGUCAUUUUCAAAUAAUGUUUUGUGAAAAGACAUUUAGAAUAAUUUUUAUUAGAAAUAAAGAUAUAUUUAGGGACUUGAGGGUAUGAAACACAAAAAGCCUUGUCAUAGUAGUUGAAGUACUAAAAAAGGACAAAAGGUUGGGCAUGAUCACACAUGCUUGUAAUCCCAAGCACUUGGGAGGCUGAGACAGGAGGAUUGCUGCCAGUUUGAGGCCAGCCUGGGCUACAUAGUGAGUUGAAGGGCAAUCUGAACUACAUAGUGAGACCCUGUCUCAAAAAAAUAAAAAAUGUAUUUGUUCAAUUAUCCAAUAACCAAAAGUAACAUAAAUAAAUUCUAAGAAAGCAGGAACUUUUUUGAGGGGGGUGACAUUUGUAAUGGAUUACAGUUAUUGUAUUCUUAAAAUUAUCAUUGUUUACAAGCGUAAGUUAUUUGUUAACGUAUUAAAUAGUUAAUAGUCUACAACGAUCAGCAAGUUUGUCUCAAAUGGUAUUUCUUUUUGAUCUUAACCUACUUGUUUACUAAUUAUUAUUUAUCCUCAUUGAAAGCUUCUAACCACCCAAAAGGGUACAAAGGCCUUCUAAGAUGUUGUACAUAUUAUAAGCCCUCAUAAAUAGUUUUCUGUGCUUGC